rnacentral:lncRNA from 12 species
CGCUGCCUAAAUUCACCAUGCAAAUAAGUUUUCUCUGUAUUUGGUCGCUAUGUUUCUCAAAUAGCAAAAUCAAAGUGAUGAAUGUAAAUGCAUUGUGUUACUUAGUUCUGUAAUAUUAUACAAGUACCAAUAGAAAAUCUUGGUAAACCACAACCUGUUUUUUAUAUGCUGUGUUCUAGAAAUGGUUAUUUUAGAGUUAUUUUUAACCAUUUUUUGUGACUUUUUUUGUUUGUAUUUAUGUUCCUUGGUUAGCAUGGGAGAGCUGGUGAAUUGUGAGGAACACUUGGGACAUGGAGCAGCAUUUCAUAUGGAGGAGAAAAGACAAAAAUGUGGUCUUAAGAUUUAAUCUACUGUUUUCCUCCAUCAAAGGAUAUUUUUAUACAUCCUUAUACGGCAGGUAUAUUCUACAGCAUUAUUCCAUAUCAGUAAGGAAAUAGUGACUUUACAGGCCACAGAAGUGAAAAAGUUGUCCAUCAUCUCAUUUCUGUUCCUGCAAACAAGCAUUGAGCAAAAGUGCUCAUCAGAGAGCUUG